AUUUAAAAAUUUAUUAAUUUUAUUUUUCAAUAAAAUAUUAUUUUUUUUUAUUAUUAAUAAAGAAAAAAUUUAUUUAAUUAUAGUUAAAAGUAUAGUAAUAGAAAAUUUAAAUAUUUUGAAAAUUUAAAUUUUAAAAAGAAUAAUUUAAUUUUAGUACCUUGUGUAUCAGGGUUUAUUAAAAAAUUUUUACAUAUUUAAAUUUCUCGAUUUUAAAAGAGUUAAAUAUUUAUUUUUUUUAAUGUUAAAUAAUUAUUAUAAAUAAAUACUUAGUAAUGAAACGUUAUUCGUUUUUAAAUAUAUCUAGUUUUUUAAGAAAUAAAUUUAAUUUAUUUAUUAAUAAAAAUUAAUUUUAUUUAUAAAUUUAAUUUUAUUAAUAAAAAAUAUUUUAAGGGAUAAGCUUUAAAAUAAAUUUAUAUAAUUUUUUUAUAUAAAAAUUAAAUGUAGGAUUAAAAAUUUCAAUCAUUAAUAAUUUGUUAUAAUUAAUUUUUUUAUAUAAUUAUUUAUAUUUAAUUUAUAUUUUUUAUUAAAAUUUUUUAUUUAAUUUUAAAAUAUAAGUAAUAAUGAUAAAAUUAGUAUAAUUUAUUGUAAAAAUAUAUUAUUUUUGUAAGGUUAAAUUAAGGAAUUCGGCAAAUUAAUUCUUCGCCUGUUUAAUAAAAACAUGUCUUUUUGAUAAUAAUUUAAAGUCUGACCUGCCCAAUGAAUAAUUUUAAUGGCCGCGGUAUUUUGACCGUGCAAAGGUAGCAUAAUCAUUAGUUUUUUAAUUGAAAGCUGGAAUGAAUGGUUGGACGAGGGAAUUACUGUCUCAAUUUAAUUUAAUUAGAAUUUUAUUUUUAAGUUAAAAAGCUUAAAUAAUUUUAAAAGACGAGAAGACCCUAUAGAGUUUAAUAUUAAUAUAAUUAUUUAUUUUUUAUAAUUAUUAUUAAUUAUAAAAAUAUUUUAUUGGGGUGAUAAAUAAAUUUAAUAAACUUUAUUUUUUAAAAACAUAAAUUUAUGAAUAUUUGAUCCAUUAUUAAUGAUUAAAAGAUUAAAUUACCUUAGGGAUAACAGCGUUAUCUUUUUAGAGAGUUCUUAUCGAAAAAAAGGAUUGCGACCUCGAUGUUGGAUUAAAGUUAAUUUUUGGUGUAGUAGCUAAAAUAUUAAGUCUGUUCGACUUUUAAAACUUUACAUGAUCUGAGUUUAAACCGGCGUGAGCCAGGUUGGUUUCUAUCUUUAAAAAGUUAAAAUAUCUUAGUACGAAAGGACCAGAUAUUUAUAAUAAUUAUUUAAAUUAUGAAUUUUAUU
rnacentral:rRNA from 1 species